CAGUCGCCGCGGGAAUACGUAGGGUACGAGCGUUAAUCGGAAUUAUUGGGCGUAAAGGGCUCGCAGGCGGUUUCUUAAGUCUGAUGUGAAAGCCCCCGGCUCAACCGGGGAGGGUCAUUGGAAACUGGGAAACUUGAGUGCAGAAGAGGAGAGUGGAAUUCCACGUGUAGCGGUGAAAUGCGUAGAGAUGUGGAGGAACACCGGUGGCGAAGGCGACUCUCUGGUCUGUAACUGACGCUGAGGAGCGAAAGCGUGGGGAGCGAACAGGAUUAGAUACCCCAGUAGUCCCUGUCUCUUAUCA
rnacentral:rRNA from 1 species